rnacentral:rRNA from 1 species
UCGAGAAUCUUCCGCAAUGGGCGAAAGCCUGACGGAGCGACGCCGCGUGAGGGACGAAGGCCUUAGGGUUGUAAACCUCUUUCGCCUGUUAUGAAUGUCUGUGCGUUAAUAGCGUGCAGGUUGACGAAGGCAGGUAAAGAAGCACCGGCUAACUCCGUGCCAGCAGCCGCGGUAAGACGGAGGGUGCAAGCGUUACUCGGAAUUACUGGGCGUAAAGGGUCCGUAGGCGGAUCAGCAAGUUGGAUGUGAAAUCCCUCGGCUCAACCGAGGAACUGCGUCCAAAACUGCUGUUCUAGAGGUCGGUAGGGGACAGUGGAACUCCAGGUGGAGCGGUGAAAUGCGUAGAGAUCUGGAGGAACAUCAGUGGCGAAAGCGACUGUCUGGGCCGUACCUGACGCUGAGGGACGAAAGCCAGGGGAGCGAACGGG